AUGUAGGGCGCUUACAUUGUGGUUUCUCCGCGCCGCCCGCACCCAGCUGGCGACUGUUCGCGACGUUUUGUUAGCA
rfam:Xanthomonas fragariae strain PD5205 genome assembly, chromosome: 1